NAACCAACAGGGAUUACCUUAGUAACGGCGAGUGAAGCGGUAAAAGCUCAAAUUUGAAAUCUAGCACUUUCAGUGUUCGAGUUGUAAUUUGAAGAAGGUAUCUUUGGAGUUGGCCCCCGUCUAUGUUCCUUGGAACAGGACGUCACAGAGGGUGAGAAUCCCGUGCGAUGGGGAGACCAAUUCUAUGUAAAGUUCCUUCGAAGAGUCGAGUUGUUUGGGAAUGCAGCUCUAAGUGGGUGGUAAAUUCCAUCUAAAGCUAAAUAUUGGCGAGAGACCGAUAGCGAACAAGUACAGUGAUGGAAAGAUGAAAAGAACUUUGAAAAGAGAGUGAAAAAGUACGUGAAAUUGUUGAAAGGGAAGGGCUUUUGAUCAGACUUGGUGUUUNGUACUCUCUACUCCUUGUGGGUGGGGCUCUUGCUUUAUACUGGGCCAGCAUCGGUUUGGAUGGCAGGAUAAUAGCAUUGGAAUGUGGCUUCAUUCGUGAAGUGUUAUAGCCUUUGUUGAUACUGCCUAUCUAGACCGAGGACUGCGUCUUUUGACUAGGAUGCUGGCGUAAUGAUUAAAAGCCGC
rnacentral:rRNA from 1 species